GUGAAUCAUCGAAUCUUUGAACGCAAAUUGCACUUUCUGGUAUUCCGGAAAGUAUGCCUGUUUGGGGGUCAGUUAAAUAAAAAUCGGUGUGGUUGCUGCCUUUCGUGGUGAUGCGUCGGAAUAGGGGCGUCUUACCUUCGGUUAAGUGACUUACAAUUUUUGCAGGAUUUUCGAACGUAGUGAAAUCGCUUACGUACGU
rnacentral:misc_RNA from 1 species